rnacentral:rRNA from 1 species
AUGGAUGAAGCGAAGAAAGAUCUUUAUGAAGGAUGUAGUGAUUUCACACGGCUGUCGUUCAUUAUUAAGCUCCUCCAUAUUAAAUCAUACAACCGGAUUACAAAUAGAGCAUUUAAUCAGUUUGUUGAGCUGAUUAGUGUGGCGUUUCCACAUGCUGAUAUACCUAAAGCAUACACUGAAGCUAAGAAUGUUCUUAGUGAAGUCGGGCUGGGUUACGAGACAAUUCAUGUUUGCAAGUUUGAUUGUGCAUUGUUUUGGGGCCAACAUGCCAACAAGAGCCAUUGUCCUGAAUGCGGGACAUCAAGAUGGAAAGACGAGGUGGGGAGGAAAAAGAUACCUCACAAGGUACUUAGGUACUUUCCUAUCAUCCCAAGGCUUCAAAGAUUUUUUGUGUCAAAGGAACAAUCAGCAGAUGCAAGGUGGCAUAAGGAGAAGAGGGUUGCUAAGGCAAAUGUUAUGAGACACCCUGCUGAUGGUGAAGCAUGGAAGCAUUUUGAUAGUGUGUUCGGUUGGUUUGCUAAGGAUGCCCGUAAUAUGAAGCUUGGUAUUGCCACGGAUGGAUUCAACCCCUUUGGAAACAUGAUGAGUUCAUAUAGUAUGUGGCCUGUUUUUAUCAUCCCGUACAACUUCCCACCCUGGAUGUGCAUGGACCAAUCUAAUUUCAUGAUGUCUUUG